ACAAAUGGCACCCAACAUGGGGCUCGAGGGGUCUGAGGAGAGACCCCCCGAGGAGAGAUUCCCAAACUCAGGGAAACAACAAUUCAUCUCAAGAUUUUUCUGAACGACCUCAAGCAGCGGCGGAACCAGUUCUUUGUACUGGCUUUAGCCAUGCAGGCAUAAGCCCUGCCAAGGACAAUUCUUGGCCCUCUGCCUCCAAGAUAGGCAAGUCUAAAGGAUGCUGACUGUGCACGUGGGUUGCUACAAUGCCUCAUUCAGUUUACUGAAUCUCCAGAUUCUACGCCACCUGUGUCAUCAUGUUGC